CAUUUUCACUGCAUAUUGCGCGCCUGAUUUCACUCCAAGGACUUAACGAAACCGAAUUCGAUUCAGACAUUUUAUUUUUGUGUGCCCUCAAGCCCGGUGAUCGUGCCUCACAAAAUUAAUAACUGUUUUCGCGAGAAAAACGAAAUAAUAUAUUAAAUAGUUAUUUGGGAGCGAGAAUGUGUUGCUAUCGAAUCCCACCCAAAACUUCCGGCCGUUGGAUCUGGAGUGAAAUGACAAACAUCAGCGGAAAAAUUGCCAACGUGAUUUUCUGAACUAGCA